AUACGUAGGUGACAAGCGUUAUCCGGAUUUACUGGGCGUAAAGGGUGAGUAGGCGGUUAUGUAUGUCAGGUGUAAAAGGCGUAGGCUUCACUUACGUUAGAACUUGAAACUGCAUAACUUGAGUGCAGGAGAGGUAAGUGGAAUUCCUAGGGCAGCGGUGAAAUGCGUAGAUAUUAGGAGGAACACCAGUGGCGAAGGCGACUUUCUGGACUGUAACUGACGCUGAGUCACGAAAGCGUGGGUAGCAAACAGGAUUAGAUACCCUGGUAGUCCACGCUGUAAACGAUGAGUGCUAGGUGUUGGGUAGCGAUAUUCAGUGCCGAAGUAAACACAAUAAGCACUCCGCCUGGGGAGUACGGUCGCAAGACCGAAACUCAAAUGAAUUGACGGGG
rnacentral:rRNA from 1 species